GACGACGCUGGCGGCGUGCUUAACACAUGCAAGUUGAACGGAGGCUUGUUUUCGGAUAAAAGCCUUAGUAGCGGACGGGUGAGGUAACGCGUGAGCAACCUGCCUUUGUGAGGGGGACAACAGCUGGAAACGGCUGCUAAUACCGCAUGAGACCACGAUCCCGCAUGGGGACGGGGUAAAAGAGGAAACUCGCACAGAGAUGGGCUCGCGUCCCAUUAGCUAGUUGGUGAGGUAACGGCUCACCAAGGCGACGAUGGGUAGCCGACCUGAGAGGGUGAUCGGCCACACUGGAACUGAGACACGGUCCAGACUCCUACGGGAGGCAGCAGUGGGGAAUAUUGGGCAAUGGGCGAAAGCCUGACCCAGCAACGCCGCGUGAGGGAAGAAGGUCUUCGGAUUGUAAACCUCUGUCCUUGGGGACGAAGGAAGUGACGGUACCCAAGGAGGAAGCUCCGGCUAACUACGUG
rnacentral:rRNA from 1 species